AGUAUGAAGCUCUGCAAGGUAGAGUGUAGUAUUACGGUGCAGGUGCAUUGCGGAGAUGACGGGCUGAUGGCAAGCAAGCUGCCACAAACAGAGUGAAUGCAGAGCCAUCAAGAGGACAUGGUGAGAAGACAGCCAUCUGCAAGCCAGAAAGAGCGCUAACCAGAACGCAACCAUGUGGAUACCCCGAUCUCAUAGUCCCAGCCUCCAAAACUGUGGGCCUCUCCCAGAUGGCAACUUGUUUAUCAAAGCAUGAAAACCAAGAAGGUGAUAAAGAAAGUCUGCUAGCAAGACAUAAGUCACAAUCUUUUGUAAUCUAUUUAUGAAAGUGACAUCCCAUCAUCUUGACCACAAUCUAUUGAUUAGAAACAAGUACAGCUCACCCUCAACAAGAGGAGAUAAUAUCCAGGUGUGAAUUGCACAAGACUAAUCCAGUGGAAAAACUAUAUUCGACCCAAGGAUCUGUAUCCACACAGUUUGACAAUAAUUUACUUCUUUCUGGAAGCGAUGAGCACAGUGUAAUUCCUGAGAAAUUUUAAUAAUGAUAUUUUAAUUAUAAUUAAGUGAAACCUAGCAAAGUUGGCUGUAUCUGGAGGAACUCCACUGUGGGAAACAGAUUCUUAAGAUGGCUGAAGAUGGCUGUUUCGCUGCAUCAAUGUGUGACUUUCAAUAGAUGAUCGAAGAUGGCUGUUUGGCACUGUGUCUGAAUUAAGCCAGAAGGAAGGAGGAAGAAGAUGAAGAAAAGGCAUGCCUCUACCCCUUAGGACCACGUCUCUGAAGCUGUAUACAACAUUUCUGCUCUCAUAUAAUUGGGCAGAACUUAGUCAUAGAGCUACAUGUAGUUGCAAGGGAAGCUAUAUGCACUAAUGUGCUUAGUUAAACAUUGGGAUUCUCUUACUAAGGUACAUAAGGAGAACAUAUAUUUGGAGAGGCAACUAUCCAUCUCUGCCACAAGAUCUGAAACAAUUAUUGUGAGACUAUAAACAUAGAAAAAAGCUCCAGAGAUCAGGGGGAAGUCAGAAAUUAUUUGGGAUUCCAGUGAAUGGAAUGUUGACCAUAAAUGAGAAAUGAUGCUUGGGAUAAUUCCUAGCGAGCAUUGGCUUUUAGAGUUGGGAUUGAAGUCAACCAGCUAUAAAGAGCAAGACUGGGUGGGGUACUUUGAAAUGUCAUAUCAUUGUGUAUGGCUUUUGUGGUAGUUACUGCUUCUUUUUAGAAUAAUUCUCAUAACUAGGUAGAAAGCUCACCUUUGAAACUUCUGCAUGCCUAAUAAAAUGCUUCACUCACACCCAGUUGUUUUACUCAAGCGAGUAGUUUUAUGGUAACUGCAUUUGGGGUAACAGUCUUACAGAAGAGUUAACACAAUGGGCAGAUUCCAGGUGUGCUGUCAUUUGGAGGAGGCAAAUCCAUACAGACAAGAAGUAGAUUAGUGGUUGCCUAGAGCUGGAGGAGGGUAGGGAUAAGGAAUGGAUUACUACUGGGACUGGGUUUCUUUUUGGGGUGAUGAAAAUUUUCUAAAAUUGAUUGUGGUGAUGGUUGCCUAACUCUGUGAAUAGCAAUGAAUUGUGCUAUUGUACACUUUAGGUAAAUGGUAUGGUAUAUGAGUUAUAUCCCCAAUAAAGCUGUUAAAAAAGAAUGAGAAAGACCGAGUGACUUGCCAAG
rnacentral:lncRNA from 1 species